GUUUCUAAACGUGGGUUUUUAUGUAGCUGUAAAAACAUUACCCUCAUGGUUGUCACAGAGUCCCUGUUGGCCACCAGAAAAAAAUCUCUGUUCACCGCACAGUGUCAUUUCCGUAGCCGUGAACGACAGCAGCAUGAAAAUAAUGUGUCUGUUAUUUAAAAUUCUUGGUAUUCGACUAUUCGAGGCCUCUUUUCCAACGAGUCUUCCAGUACAGAAAAAAAUGGAAAGAGGGGGCGAAUCAAGAUUUUGUGACCAGAAGAAGCCUUGAAGCCUAUGAAAAGUAGAAGAAGUCAAAUUUGAAAAACUAUUUACAGCAUUGUGCCACGGUUGUAUUUGUCUUUUUUACAAGCUAAACAUUUUUUUUAAAAUAGCUGGUUUGAAAUCAAAUUAGCAUACGUAUUGGGCUUAUAGACUAUAAAUAGAGUAAAAUUACUCUCGCACUUGGUUUUCUGAUGGCAAUGUUGAAACUAAUGUGUGGAAUACUCUCUUCCGGAUGUUCUUUGCUGACGUCUAAAUGAAACGGUAGAACUACCUGCAAUAUAGUUAAUCAGCAAGUUAUACAUGAUGGUUUCAUCUAUCAAUAGAGGCUGCCUUUCUCGACUAUCAUCAAAUGAUGGUACAUUUUCAUUCGCAAGAACCCUUAUAAUCGAGUUGGAUUGAAGUAUCUCCUAUGUAGCAUGGGUUAGUAGAAAAUGUUACAAGUUCAAAAGUAAAGAUUAAAAUCAGAUGAAAUAUAUAGAUCGCAAUUCUAUA